rnacentral:rRNA from 1 species
ACGCUCGACACCUACGGAAGGCAGCAGUGGGGAAUAUUGCACAAUGGGGGAAACCCUGAUGCAGCAACGCCGCGUGAAGGAAGAAGUAUUUCGGUAUGUAAACUUCUAUCAGCAGGGAAGAAAAAGAUGACGGUACCUGACUAAGAAGAACCGGCUAAAUACGUGCCUGCAGCCGCGGUAAUCUGAGCGGGCUGGCAAGGC